rnacentral:rRNA from 1 species
GACAGAGGUGCCGAGCGUUAGGCGGAAUCACUGGGCUUAAAGCGUGUGUAGGCGGACUUCUAAGUACCUUGUGAAAUCCCACGGCUCAACCGUGGAACUGCUUGGUAUACUGGUUGUCUUGAGCCACUUAGGGGCAGUCGGAACAGACGGUGGAGCGGUGAAAUGCGUUGAUAUCCAUAGGAACUCCGGUGGCGAAAGCGGUGUGCUGGAUCCCUUCUGACGCUGAGGCACGAAAGCCAGGGGAGCGAACGGG